CUCCACCAAACGGUGUACUUUUUGGAGUAUCUGUGCAUAAGCUGGCCUUGUGCUUAACUAUCCUUUGCUUAACUAGUCUCCAUCUUUUCCUAGAGUUCACAUGUUCCACUGGAAACUUGCAGGGGUGAGAUAUAUAAGGCAGUAAAACCUUAUGUAUGAAGGACUUUGGAACUGGUCCUGCUUUGAGCAGCAGGUUGGAGUGGGGACUGCUGUGAAGCCUCUUCCAGGUUGAAUUUUCUGUGAGUCCGCAGACAAGAAAAUAUUAAAUUCAAAGGUCCCUUUAACAUUUGCAUCAACAAGGACAAUCAUCAGGAAAUGCCAAAUGAACUCCACUGGAUUUUUCCUCUAAAGAAGCGAACAGAAUUAUUCCAACAGCGUCGAGUCGAAACACCCACUUUUUGGUUUUCAUUCUACUCAUCUAUAGAGAAAUUACACUCUGGCCAAUGAGUAGUAUUGAGAAAUUAAUUUUGUUUAAAUUCAACAAAGGCCCCGGCGUCCCCUGUGACAAAGUGUUUUGAAGGUAUAAAGCAUUCUUUCUGC
ensembl:lncRNA